rnacentral:rRNA from 1 species
GACGAACGCUGGCGGCGUGCCUAAUACAUGCAAGUUGAGCGCUGAAGGUUGGUACUUGUACCAACUGGAUGAGCAGCGAACGGGUGAGUAACGCGUGGGGAAUCUGCCUUUGAGCGGGGGACAACAUUUGGAAACGAAUGCUAAUACCGCAUAAAAACUUUAAACACAAGUUUUAAGUUUGAAAGAUGCAAUUGCAUCACUCAAAGAUGAUCCCGCGUUGUAUUAGCUAGUUGGUGAGGUAAAGGCUCACCAAGGCGAUGAUACAUAGCCGACCUGAGAGGGUGAUCGGCCACAUUGGGACUGAGACACGGCCCAAACUCCUACGGGAGGCAGCAGUUGGGAAUCUUCGGCAAUGGACGAAAGUCUGACCGAGCAACGCCGCGUGAGUGAAGAAGGUUUUCGGAUCGUAAAACUCUGUUGGUAGAGAAGAACGUUGGUGAGAGUGGAAAGCUCAUCAAGUGACGGUACCUACCCAGAAAGGGACGGCUAACUACGUG